AAGACCUUGCGCUUUUGGAGGGGCCGAKGUCUGAUUAGCUUGUUGGUGAGGUAAAAGCUUACCAAGGCUUCGAUCAGUAGCUGGUCUGAGAGGACGGCCAGCCACACUGGGACUGAGACACGGCCCAGACUCCUACGGGAGGCAGCAGUGGGGAAUUUUGGACAAUGGGGGCAACCCUGAUCCAGCCAUGCCGCGUGAGUGAAGAAGGCCUUCGGGUUGUAAAGCUCUUUCAGCCGGAACGAAACGGUUACGGUUAAUACCCGUGACUACUGACGGUACCGGAAGAAGAAGCACCGGCUAACUACGUGCCAGCAGCCGCGGUAAUACGUAGGGUGCAAGCGUUAAUCGGAAUUACUGGGCGUAAAGCGUGCGCAGGUGGUUUUGUAAGUCAGAUGUGAAAUCCCCGGGCUUAACCUGGGAACU
rnacentral:rRNA from 1 species